CGCCUCAAUAAUAAAUCCGGCGAGUUUCAAAAACUAUUCAAGAGUUCCGGAUCUUAUGAGAAUGGAAGUUCCUAAUGUAAUGUCACAAAUUUGCAGUUCAUUUUAUCAGCGUUUCAUGCAAAAUCAUAGACUCUAAUAAAAAUAACAUUGGCUUUUAUUUUUAUGAAAUUAUAUUUUAUAGGUGAAAUUUUACUUUUUUUAUUUAUUAUCAAAGUAAUUUGUAUAUUCCACUCAGUGCUAACACAAAAAAACUAGCACUGAAACUGUAAUUUUGACCUUCAACCGUUUGGAGGCCAUUGAAGUCCACUAUAGGGAGAAAAAUCCUGGAAUGUUUUCAUCAAAAACCUUAAUUUCUUUUCAACUGACGAAAGAAAGACAUGAACAUCUUGAAUGACAUGGGGAGUCCUUUGAGUUUCUCUAUAACAUGGGAAAGAUGAUUCGAUCUGGAACAUUUGGCAGCGUGUUCAAGAGAACAUGCAAAUUUAAUGGCAAAAAGGUUGCCAUCAAGCGAAUGCACAAGUUUGACAACUUUCUUUAUCUUGAUAUUCGCGCCGCCCCUUUAAAUCGCGUGCUCCCUGCCACACGAGCUCUCCACUAUAUUACAG